AUANCUAGUGGGGGAUAACUACCUCGAAAGANUAGCUAAUACCNNAUGAGAUCUANNGAUGAAAGCNGGGGANCUUCNGGNCUUGCNCUACUANAGCGGCUGAUGGCANAUUANGUAGUUGGUGGGAUAAAAGCUUACCAAGCCGACNAUCUGUAGCUGGUCUGAGAGGACNACCAGCCACACUGGGACUGAGACACGGCCCAGACUCCUACNGGAGGCAGCAGUGGGGAAUUUUGGACAAUGGGCGAAAGCCUGAUCCAGCANUGCCGCGUGUAGGAUGAAGGCCCUCGGGUUGUAAACUACUUUUGUACGGAACGAAAAGACUCUUUCUAAUAAAGAGGGUCCAUGACGGUACCGUAAGAAUAAGCACCGGCUAACUACGUGCCAGCAGCCGCGGUAAUACGUAGGGUGCAAGCGUUAAUCGGAAUUACUGGGCGUAAAGCGUGCGCAGGCGGUUAUGUAAGACAGAGGUGAAAUCCCCGGGCUCAACCUGGGAACGGCCUUUGUGACUGCAUAGCUAGAGUACGGUAGAGGGGGAUGGAAUUCCGCGUGUAGCAGUGAAAUGCGUAGAUAUGCGGAGGAACACCGAUGGCGAAGGCAAUCCCCUGGACCUGUACUGACGCUCAUGCACGAAAGCGUGGGGAGCAAACAGGGAUUAGAUACCCUGGUAGUCCACGCCCUAAACGAUGUCAACUGNUUUGUUGGGAAUUAACUUUUUCAGUAACGAAGCUNACGCNUGAAGUUNACCGCCCUGGGGGAGUACGGCCCCNAGGGUUGAAACCUCAANGGNAAUUGACGGGGAACCCGCACCAAGCNGGNGGGANU
rnacentral:rRNA from 2 species